CCCUUAGAUGUUCGGGGCCGCACGCGCGCUACACUGAAGGAAUCAGCACGUCUUUCUCCUUGUCAGAAAGGACUGGGUAACCCGCUGAACCUCCUUCGUGCUAGGGAUUGGGGCUUGUAAUUCUUCCCCAUGAACGAGGAAUUCCCAGUAAGCGCGAGUCAUAAGCUCGCGUUGAUUACGUCCCUGCCCUUUGUACACACCGCCCGUCGCUACUACCGAUUGGAUGGUUUAGUGAGAUCCUCGGAUUGGUCCCGGAGCGGCCUCUGGUCGUGCCGGAGUGCCGAAAAGAAUGUCGAACUUGAUCAUCUAGAGGAAGUAAAAGUCGUAACA
rnacentral:rRNA from 1 species